rnacentral:rRNA from 1 species
AUUGAACGCUGGCGGCAGGCCUAACACAUGCAAGUCGAACGGUAGCACAGAGAGCUUGCUCUCGGGUGACGAGUGGCGGACGGGUGAGUAAUGUCUGGGAAACUGCCCGAUGGAGGGGGAUAACUACUGGAAACGGUAGCUAGUACCGCAUAACGUCGCAAGACCAAAGUGGGGGACCUUCGGGCCUCACACCAUCGGAUGUGCCCAGAUGGGAUUAGCUAGUAGGUGGGGUAAUGGCUCACCUAGGCGACGAUCCCUAGCUGGUCUGAGAGGAUGACCAGCCACACUGGAGCUGAGACACGGUCCAGACUCCUACGGGAGGCAGCAGUGGGGAAUAUUGCACAAUGGGCGCAAGCCUGAUGCAGCCAUGCCGCGUGUAUGAAGAAGGCCUUCGGGUUGUAAAGUACUUUCAGCGGGGAGGAAGGCGGUGGAGUUAAUAACUUCACCGAUUGACGUUACCCGCAGAAGAAGCACCGGCUAACUCCGUGCCAGCCGCCGCAGUAA